CCGCUGUCGGAGGCUGGGUGUCGUUCUCUAGUGCAGAUUGUCUAAUUGAGUUUCUGAAAGCGUCGUCCACGUCUGCACUUCAUGGGUCCGUACACUGGGAACUCACGCCUGAGAACUUCCUGCUCACCAGAUUGGUUUCAGUUUCUCUGUCUGCAUCGAAGAAGGUCAGCACUUUGCCUCGAACAGUUUCAUGAUUACACUCAUGACAUGAUUUACAGUACAGUAGUCUCAUGCGUUGAGCACUUGAGCUCAUAAUACUGCAAUACGGACAUACAUUUUCCAAGCAUAAAUUAAUGAAGAAGUUAUUGCAACAGGAGGGCCUCUAAUUGUAAUUCAUAUACACAUUUCAGCUCAAUAACCAUAUAACGCAUCUUGCCCGAGCUUGAUACUUCCGACUAUCUCCAUGUCUUUCGGGUCAAAGUUAAGUUAGCUCUAUAUACGAGCAGGCAUUUUAUUCUUUGGGAGCAAGCAAGAAUCAACAUAUUCUCUCGCAAUAUUAUCUCCUCCUUCCCCUUGUCAUCCUAAUCCCCUGCAGAUGGCAUGACUAGCUAGGUUCAUAACAGUUGUUGUAACUAUCCGUCCGGUCAUGAAUCAACAAUUACAAUUGUUUUGACUUCUACAAUCAGUUCAGCCGCCUAUGUUGUACUGCCGCUGCCAUUUAAAGAUUUAAGUUGUCAGGUGGAUAUAGGUUCCAUUAGAUUGAAAGUAAUGAAAUUUUAUUUGCCAACCUGGCUGCACUUUGUGAUGCUUUAUUUAUGUAUAUACUUAAAGUUCAAAUGUGAUGUAUGCAUUACUCCUUAUUUGAUACUAGCAUUUGUCGCAAGCACCUUGCUAUUCUGAGUAAUGGUUGAUAUCUUACAUUUAGCCGAGAAGCUGAAAACUUACGAGUUGGAAAACCUUCUAGAUAUACCUAAAAAGACCUUGAAGAUAUCUUCUACUAGACUGGACGAGCUGAUUGACUGGCGAUGGAGAUGCAGCAGUGACCUGCAAUUCUUUCUGCUGUGGAUGGUUCAUUUUGAAAUCUUUUUUAUAUCUGACAAGACACAAGAAAACAACAUAUCUAUCCUGUUAUAUUUACCACUAUCAUCUACAGUGAGUGCUAAGUUGCCCAUAAAUUUUAGUUGAUUUCUGUUCAGAGUGAUCUGAAAAAUAGAUAGCAUAAAAGAUUAGUGGGUAUUACAUUUAGAUUAGUUACAUUUGGGCAAAUAAAUGAGUAGAAGUCAAUUUUGUUUGCUUGAUGUUUCACUUCUUUGAUCUCUUCAUCAUUCUCAUUUUGUUUCAUUGCUUACCAUUUGUUCGAAAAAAUUUCUAGCAGUGGCAAGCAUGGUUAGGGCGAGCAACAAGGGUUCCUGUAGUGCAUAACCAUUUCAAGUCGCCCAAGUUCUAAAGAGAGAUCAGAAGUGCCAGCUACUGAAGCAAAAAAAAGGACCUGAUACACAUUGUAAUCAUGGACUGCUGAUAUACCUGAUGCAUUUCUUCAUGAUGGUCGAUUUCCUUUCACCGGAUCUUACAUGUUUAAUUAUGUGUGCUCGGAACCAAAAACUGAUUGAGAUCUUCAGUUCUUACUUGCAGAUGUUCUGUUAUUCAGAGUAAUUCAGUUUCCAGUCUCUGUUUAUUAAUCAAAUUAUGGGUUAUUUUCAACCAUAUAGGCUUUUAUUAUAUGUUCAGUUAUGCUUCCAUGGGUUUUGCAUAUGUAUUAACAAAACAACCAGACUGCUAUUCUGUAUAUACUUGGAUCAAAGGGUGUACAAUUAAUUUGCUCUUACGAAAGGAAUGAGUAGGCAGCUAGCAGAAUGGGAGGACAAUCAUGACAAGCGAAGGAACAAAUAAAUAGUAAUCCCACAAUUUUUACAACUGCAUUCCACUUUAAUUUGGUAUGGACAUGCAUUUUUAUCCUUGGAGUACUUUGGAUUUUAAGUGGGAAUCAUUGGUUCUUUUCUUCUUAAUAUUUUACUUCUUAUAAUUACAAAUACCAAUUUUAGAGAAUUGAGCUCGUACUUAAAAUUCAAUUGAGUAUGAAGCCACUGCCCAUUGUGUGAAAGAAACAAUUAUAACAUUGUACUCUAACAAAUCACACAUAUAGAGAAAUGUUAUUUUCGAGUCUCCUUAACCUACUGAUCUUUUUUUAGAUAUAUGAAACUUGCAUUUGUUUUCUUAAUUCUUCUGCAAUGCAGGUGAUAUUCCUAAUGGUUGCUGCUGACGCUAAAAAAAUUACUCCUGAAGCACUAGAAGUGCCCUCUCUAUGACGCAUCACUCACUGGAUCCAGAUGGGCAACAUUCCGCUUCAAGAUUAAAGAGUACCGUUUUUGCAUGCUAUCAUUGCUUAUCCAAGAGUAAUCUAGCAUGUGCCUAAUAUAUAUACAUGAUUGUUGCACCAUCACAAGAUUUCCAUUAUAUACAUGGGCAUAACUUUCUUUACUGUGAAUUAAUCGACACGAUGCUUCUGUUUUAAGGAAUGGCAAUGCUAAAUUCUACAGUGGUACUCUCUACUCUGUCGAAUGUUUACAAACACCAUAAAGCUAGAGAUCUAUUGUGGAAACUUUUCUUUCUUUUGUUUGUUAUAACUUCUUAGUGUAAAAAUAAAUAUGGCUUGUCCAUUACGAAACAAAUAUGUAAGAUUUAUUACUUUUCAAAGUUGAAUUGUUCCUGGCAAAUUACACAUGAGAGUGCAUACAAUUGAGUUGUGCUGACUUGCUGUUUCUAAAAUGAUAAGCUGGAGCUGGAGUUACAUAUGAGAGUAGAGAUAAUUAAGUUGUGCUCCUGACUUGAUUAACAAAAGCUGCAGAAGAAAGGGACAAAAUACCAAAGAGCUGAAAUUUUGAAGAAAGGUGGAAGUAGGGAACUACACAACUUGAUUCAAGGUUACGAAGGGAAAAAGGGCAUUGAUUGAGCAGGAGAAAACAAUAAUGGGCCGAGGCAAAGAUAUAGUGCUCAGUUAGUAAAGAGAUAUGUGGGAAGUUGAGCAGCGGGAUGCAAAUGGAAUUUUUGUGACUCACUGAAGGUGAGCAAAACUUCAGAAAAGAAAUUGCAACAGAAGUAGAGCCUCAUCACCAAGAGAACAUAGGGAUUUUAAGUUUUUUGUAGCCUGCACCGGAGACUGUAGAGUUAAGUUUCUACAUCUCAGUGUACAGUUUAACUAUAUCAGGUUAUUUCCUAUGUAGUAAAUAUUUGCUUUUGCCAUUGCUGAUCAUGUCCUUCUCUCUGUGCUUGGAAGCAUAAACUUACUUAGCGAUCCUUUUCUGUUAGGCUAAACUUACAUCCUUCUGCUAAUAGUUUAGUGAUCUAAUGAUUAUAAUGAUUAUUCAAAAGGGACGUUGCAUGUUCCUAGAUGCAUAGCCUUUCUUAUAUAUGUUUUCAUAACACUGGAUUUUUUUAGGGAUAACACUGGGAUUUAAGUUUUUUUGUUAAAUUCUGAAACUGAAAUCCGAAUAAAAAAUAUCUUGAAAGACCAGCAUAAUGGCACUUCAAAUAAAUGCUAAUCUACACUCACACUGCAGGCUGGUGCCCGUUCUUCUGGUGAUUUGGUCAAAGCUACUACUAAGCAAAGAUAUUUUGCAUGCUAUAAGAACAUGUAGGUUCAUAUCGGGGAGCCAUACGAUCCUGCUAAGAAUUUUGAAUCACUUUGAUAUAUUAACAACAACAUCGUUUAAAAUCCAAACAAAUGGCAUACUCCCUGUUAAUUCAAAUGCAGAUACAAACUUUAAGCUUUUCUAAAUAAGGAAAUAUAUUUACAGUCCAAGUGUAGUAAUCUGGGAGUUUGAAAUUAUUUCCCCUUUUUACAAAGCAAGGGACAUUGAAGUUAAUAUUCACAUACAUGGCAGGGAAGGAUUGAUCUCUCUGCUUAGCAAUGAAUUUGUAGCACCCCAUGAAAACAAAUAUUGUGCAGACCCUAUGGCGUCAUUGUGUUAGUAGGCCGUAUUGGCGUUGCAAUCUCCUCUUGGACUAACUAAUGCAUAGGUUAUAAAGCACAUCAAACCUUUUGUAGACCAACAAAUCCAACAUGCUAUGUAGAUCUUGUGUGUACGGAUUAAUCUGAUUGAUGACUGAUGGAAAGCUUCAGGACUUGUAUUCCCCCCUCACCCCAUAUCUGUAGUUUCCUAUGAUUCACUUUCAAAUCUGGAUAUUCUCUUAUAUAUUAACUACUGCAUUGGAGGAAAUUAAAUCACUUGCAAUCUACAAUUAAAGAAUAAUUAAGUGGGACCUUGAGAAACAAUAGUUUGCCAUGGUCUGCAAUGGGGCAGAGCCAAAGAGUUUGACCAGAAUAAAAGUCUGGACAACAAAAUUCAAUGGAGAGAGAUAUCCAUCUGUUACCCACAAAUGAUUAUUUUUUUGUUAGUGCCUCUUCUUCUUUCUUGCCCAUUAUUUAGUUAUAACGUGACAAAAUAAACAUGUUGAUUAUACCCGACUUGCACUGAACAUGAAAUUUUUGUUUAUGCACAAACAUGCGAGUUGUGUAGUACUGUAGGUUGACACUUCAUCGAAACAUAACACACAAUUACAUGUGCGUGUAUAAGGAGAAACUAUACCUGCAGCACACAUCCAUCUAUCUCGGUUUAUGGGAGAACUGGCAAAUUUAUGGUAAUGAAGCAUGUAGCUGAGGUGUGAGACAAAUCUUCCGUAGAGUGUUAAUGUUGUUAGUAGUAAUUAACUUGUCUCCUAGGAGCUAACUGCAGCAACUUACCUUGAUUGUUAGAUACAGUAUAGCAUUAUUCAUCUUCAUCCAUGAUUGAUUCUUCUGUUUGCUGCAAUUCUUUGACAAUUCUUAGCAUCACACAACCAAAGGUGAGAAGCAAAAAUUUGAAGCACGGAACAAAAAAUUCACAAACCAAUGCAUUUAGUAACCAUCGUGGUUCUUACAGGUCCUUUGCAAUCCAAAUUCCAGUUCUAUGACUUGCAAGGAAGGAUGAAGUCCAUGUCAUGAAAAUUUUAAUAUGUGGUCGCUGCCUCCUCCAGCCAUGGAUUUCAAAGGUACGCAGAUUCACCUACAACAUGCAUAUGGGAGAACUUGCAGAUCUGAAGGAAUCAAGUAUCUAGCUAAGGUGCUUGUAGCCACGAUCAGUGCUCCAUCGAGCAAUUUCUUAGGGCUGCACAGAUGCAACAACCUGGUAGAUAGGAUCAUCCUCUAUCAAAAAUAGCCAAAGGAAGAUGUCAGCAUCAGAGAUCCCAUAUAGGCCAGGAUAAUGUCAAAAUAUCUUGGCAUGGGCACGUGGCUCAUAGCCUGAACUUGAGACCGUUUACUCCAUGCUCGUGGUGGAGGCCUAGUCUCGACGGGGGCAUGGCAGUGGCGUGCGUUAGGAUUGGAUUCCGUCGAAGACCUAGGAUUGAUUUUCUAGCUGAGGCUGCGUGCGUGAGGGCUGGAGAGUCGGUUGUAGCCAUGGGAUUCUGGCGGCAGCAGCGUGCGUGAGGGCAGGGGAGUCUGCAGCCCUAUUAUGUUUUUCUUCUUUCAACGAUGGACUCAGGUAAUGGGAAAACUAAUCUAUGGCAUGGCCCUGUAUAUUUUGUCUUCUUUUCACGAUGGAGUCAAGGUUUCUAAAAAAAUUAUGGCAUUGCUGAAUCGUAGAGGCAGGUGAAAGCUAUUUUGACGCAGCAUAUGCUUUAGUAGGAGUUAUCUCUACCUCUCUAUCUCUACCUAAUCUCUACCUAAUAAUAAAGCAAAUUGGGUUUCUGCUUGUCCGUCAUUAGCAUUUUUGCUAAAAAGCCCCUCCCUUUUUUAGUAUUUAACCCGCAGUACAAUUUAAAGUCUGUUUCUUCUUGAGAUAAUGAUUCAUUUUUUGCAAAAAGGACCCGGGCACCACCACCACAACCCCGCCUUAUCCACUGCCGGUCUUCACAAACGGGCAGCGGCGCGCUUGCCAUGGCGUCCGCUCCGCCCGAGCCCAGUAAUGGGGCGAGGCGUCGCGGCGGCGUUCCUGCACGCCUUGUCGGCCUUGGAGCUAGCCUUGGCGGGGGCGGGCCGAGGCGUCGCGGCGGAGGACGAUAAGCAGACGGGCACGCGCCACCGGCGCGCUUGCCGUGGGCGUCCGCUUUGCCCGAGCCCAGUAGUGGGGCGAGGGGUCGCGCCGGCGUUCCUACACGCCUUGUCGACCUUGAAGCUGGCCUUGGCGGGCCGAGGCGUCGCGGCGGAGGACGACAAGGCGGCCGGCGUGCUCUGUUGGGGCGACGCGUCGCGGCGCUCUGGCUCCAGUAGAUGACGGCAGAGAGCCAGGUGUGGCUUUGUGUCGCCGGCCACCGUGCCAGGCUGGAAUAGCUGCUGCAGCCCCCCUUAUUUGAUACUUGCAUUUGUGGCAAGCACCUUGCUGUUCUGAGUAAUGGUUGAUAUCUUAUAUUUAGCCGAGAAGCUGAAAACUUACGAGUUGGAAAACCUUCUAGAUAUACCUAAAAAGACCUUGAAGAUAUCUUCUACUAGACUGGACGAGCUGAUUGACUGGCGAUGGAGAUGCAGCAGUGACCUGCAAUUCUUUCUGCUGUGGAUGGUUCAUUUUGAUAUCUUUUUUAUAUCUGACAAGACACAAGAAAACAACAUAUCUAUCCUGUUAUAUUUACCACUAUCAUCUACAGUGAGUGCUAAGUUGCCCAUAAAUUUUAGUUGACUUCUGUUCAGAGUGAUCUGAAAAAUAGAUAGCAAAAAAGAUUAGUGGGUAUUACAUUUAGAUUAGCUACAUUUGGGCAAAUAAAUGAGUAGAAGUCAAUUUUGUUUGCUUGAUGUUUCACUUCUUUGAUCUCUUCAUCAUUCUCAUUUUGUUUCAUUGCUUACCAUUUGUUCGAAAUUUUUUCUAGCAGUGGCAAGCAUGGUUAGGGCGAGCAACGAGGGUUCCUAUAGUGCAUAACCAUUUCGAGUCGCCCAAGUUCUAAAGAGAGAUCAGAAGUGCCAGCUACUGAAGCAAAAAAAAGGACCUGAUACACAUUGUAAUCAAUGACUGCUGAUAUACCUGAUGCAUUUCUUCAUGAUGGUCGAUUUCCUUUCACCGGAUCUUACAUGUUUAAUUAUGUGUGCUCGGAACCAAAAACUGAUUGAGAUCUUCAGUUCUUACUUGCAGAUGUUCUUUUAUUCAGAGUAAUUCAGUUUCCAGUCUCUAUGUAUUAAUCAAAUUAUGGGUUAUUUUCAACCAUAUAGACUUUUAUUAUAUGUUCAGUUAUGCUUCCAUGGGUUUUGCAUAUGUAUUAACAAAACAACCAGACUGCUAUUACGUAUAUAGUUGGAUCAAAGGGUGUACAAUUAAUUUGCUCUGACGAAAGGAAUGAGUAGGCAGCUAGCAGAAUGGGAGGACAAUCAUGACAAGCGAACGAACAGAUAAAUAGUAAUCCCACAAUUUUUACAACUGCAUUCCACUUUAAUUUGGUAUGGACAUGCAUUUUUAUCCUUGGAGUACUUUGGAUUUUAAGUGGGAAUCAUUGGUUCUUUUCUUCUUAAUAUUUUACUUCUUAUAAUUACAAAUACCAAUUUUAGAGAAUUGAGCUCGUACUUAAAAUUCAAUUGAAUAUGAAGCCACUGCCCAUUGUGUGAAAGAAACAAUUAUAACAUUGUACUCUAACAAAUCACACAUAUAGAGAAAUGUUAUUUUCGAGUCUCCUUAACCUACUGAUCUUUUUUUAGAUAUAUGAAACUUUCAUUUGUUUUCUUAAUUCUUCUGCAAUGCAGGUGAUAUUCCUUGGUUGCUGCUGACGCUAAAAAAAUUACUCCUGAAGCACUAGAAGUGCCCUCUCUAUGGCGCAUCACUCACUAGAUCCAGAUGGGCAACAUUCCGCUUCAAGAUUAAAGAGUACAGUUUUUGCAUGCUAUCAUUGCUUAUCCAAGAGUAAUCUACCAUGUGCCUAAUUGUUAUGACCGGCCAUGUCUAUGGCCGCCGCAGGCCCAACAGGCAGUCUUAGGCCCGCAAGUUACCUUAGUUUUAUUCAGAUUAGGCAAGUUAUCUCAGGAUUGAUUCUUCUACAAGUUAUCUAGGAUAUAAAUAUAGAUUGUAAGACUCUUUUGGAUGGAAGCAAUAAAGACUAUUAUUAUCUUUUGUUGCCCGGCUCCUAGAGGAGCCGGAAACCCUAGCUGCCGCAACCUAGCUGCCACCGCCCUCAACCCUAGCCGCGACGGCACCCUGCCGCUGGCGCGCCCGCUCCUCGCCGCGCCCACUUCCUCUUUGCCCCUACAACCUACGCAGUAGAGCCGGUAGGAACCCUAGUCCUACCAAUUUGGUAUUCAGAGACCACGUUGUGAUCAUGUCGAUGCCGCCAUCACCGCCGCCGCUGCCCGUCCGCACCACCGCGCCCAUGACGACGGCGCCAAGCAUCACCGCGCCGACCGCAUCCGCCGGGACCUCGCUGGCGUGUCCCGUCUCCUCCUCGGCACCUCCUGCACCGGCGUCUCCGGGCGCAUCUCCACCACCACCGCUGGCCGCCUUGUCUCCGGAGCAACUCGCCGCCAUGCUACAUCACCUCGUCACCGUCGUCCACGGGCUUCAGCUCCACCAGCAAUAUGGGGCCGGCGCCUAUGCUCAACCGCCAUCGGCCCCGAUCGCCGCCCCUGGUCUUCUCCUACAGCAGCAGCCGCAGUACGGGGGCGGGGCGAGCCCCUUCGCGCCACCACCAGGAGCGUACCAGGGCGCGGCCGCGUACGGCGGGCCCCUGUUCGGGCCGAUCCAGGCGAGAUUGGCAUCCGGGCCAGCGCCGGCCGCGGCGCCCCUCUGGCCUUUGCCGCCGGCCACCUCGGCCGCCUCCUAGCUGCAGCAGCCGCCACCCACCGUCUGGCCGGUUCAGCAGAUGCCGUUCCUCGCAUGGCCGGCCCAGCAGCCGCCGCCGACGGCGUCCCAGGGCCUGCGUCCACCGCCGUUCUCCGCGCCCUCAUCAGCCGGGACCACCUCGGGCACGGCCUCGACUAUCGGGUUACUGAUCCAUCAGGUCCAGUUUCCCCCUUCCCCGUCCCCCCCUGCCAGCAUGGGCGGCGGGGUCUUCGCCUUCACCGGUCCACACCACGACCCCGGUUGAGCCGACUCCGUUUCCGCAGUUCGGCAGGCCAUCCGGCCCCGCCGGCCAGUACCCGGACUACUCCGAUCAGGCACCUCCGGCUUCACUCUUCCGAGCCCCCGCGCCUGCUCAGCACGGCGGGCCGCAGCAGACACCGCCGCUGUUCGCCAAACUCGACUUCGCCACCUACGAGGGCACGGAGGACCCCCUCAACUGGCUCAACCAGUGCGAACAGUUCUUUCGAGGGCAGCGGACACUCGCUUCAGAUCGUACCUGGCUCGCGUCCUAUCAUCUUCGAGGCGCAGCACAGACCUGGUACUACGCCCUCGAGUAGGACGAGGGCGGCAUGCCACCGUGGGAGCGCUUCCAGGAGCUCUGUCUUCUCCGUUUUGGGCCUCCUAUCCGCGGGAGCCGACUGGCGGCCCUCUGUCGUUUACCAUUCACAUCUACGGUGCAGGACUACGCCGAUCGCUUCCAGGCCCUGGCAUGCCACGCGCCGGGCGUCUCCGCGACCCAGCGCGCCGAGCUCUUUGUGGGCGGUCUGCCGGACCAUAUCCGCGUGGACGUCGAGCUCCGGGAUCCCCCCGAUCUCCAGACGGCCAUGUACUACGCCCGGGCCUUCAAGCAGCGGGUCCAGGCACUGCAGCCGCCACUCGGACGGAGUGGCCGCCAGCCCAGUCGGCCAGCACCAACUUCCUCAGCCCCGGGUCGGCCUCUCCCAUCCGCGACGGCCACAUCCCCGGCUGCCACACGGCCCUUCCGUCGGCUGUCACCGGCCGAGCAGCAGGAGCGUCGCCGUCAGGGUCUCUGCUUCAACUGCGAUGAGCCCUACACACCGACCCAUGUCUGCCCCCGCCUCUUUUAUUUAGAGACGGUCGACUACACCGAGGAGAACGACUCGCCCGAUCCGUUACAUCCGCCUGCGGCGCCCGAGGACGCGGCCGCGGAUUCCGCAGCGACGGCGUGCGUCGUCUCCCUUCACGCCCUGGCCGGCAUCCGGGGCGAGCAGACCAUGCUGCUGCCGGUGACGAUCCAUGGCGAGCGCCUGGUGGCCCUGCUAGAUACGGGCUCCACACACAACUUUCUGCCCGAAUCGACCAUGCGUCGGCUAGCCCUCCCGACGACGGGCGAGGAGCGCCUGCGGAUCACAGUGGCGAACGGUGAUCGCCUCCGGUGCCAUGGGCUAGCCCGCGACGUUCCCAUCUCCAUCGGCGACGAACACUUUUCCAUCACUUGUGCAGGGAUCGAUCUCGGCUGCUUCGACUUCAUCCUCGGGGUGGACUUUCUCCGGACCCUCGGCCCCAUCCUAUGGGAUUUCGAUGCACUCAUGAUGACAUUCUCGCGGCAGGGACGCCGCAUCCGAUGGGAGGGCAUUGGGGGCGCCGCGGCUGCCGUGCCACAUCUCCAGCUGGCUGCCGCGUCCUCGGAGGCUGAGCACCCCCUGCUGGAUUCUCUUCUGGAGCAGCACAGCGACCUCUUCGACGCUCCACGGGGUCUUCCACCUGCCCGGGUGUACGACCAUCAUAUUCACCUCAUACCAGGCUCCAGUCCGGUGGUGGUACGGCCCUACCACUACCCCCAGCUGCAGAAGGAUGAGUUGGAGCGCCAGUGUGCCCUGAUGCUCGCCGCACGCAUCAUCCGGAUCUCCACGUCACCCUUCACGGCGCCGGUGCUUCUCGUCCGUAAGUCCGACGGCACAUGGCGCUUCUGCAUCGACUACCGCGCCCUCAACGCACUCACGCUCAAGGACAAGUUCCCUAUACCGGUGGUCGACGAGCUCUUGGAUGAGCUCCAUGGGGCACGCUUCUUCACCAAGCUCGAUCUUCGGUCGGGCUAUCAUCAGGUGCGCAUGCAUCCGGACGACAUCGCCAAGACGGCGUUUCGCACCCACCAUGGCCACUUCGAGUUCUUGGUGAUGCCUUUCGGCCUCGCCAACGCCCCGACGACUUUCCAAGCCCUGAUGAACGACGUCCUUCGACCCUACUUACGGCGGUUUGUGCUUGUUUUCUUUGAUGACAUUCUUAUCUACAGCGCCACCUGGGCCGAACAUCUCCAGCACGUCGCCAUCGUCUUCAACGAGCUUCGGGCGCACCACCUCCACCUUAAGCGCUCAAAGUGCUCGUUCGAGACACCUACCGUCGCCUACCUCGGCCAUGUCAUCUCGGCCGACGGAGUGGCUAUGGACGCCGAUAAGGUGGCGGCCGUCUCCGCCUGGCCGACGCCUCACUCACCGCGGGCUCUCCGCGGGUUCCUCGGACUCGCUGGCUACUACCGGAAAUUUAUCCGGGAGUUCGGACUCAUCGCGGCGCCCCUCACGCGGUUGCUUCGCCGCGACGCCUUCGCCUGGGACGCUGAGGCGUCGACGGCAUUCGAGGCCCUCAAGGGGGCCCUCACGACGGGCCCCGUCCUCCAGAUGCCCGACUUCGACCGUCCGUUCGUGGUGGACUGUGACGCCUCGGGCACCGGGUUCGGCGCCGUACUUCAUCAGGGCGAUGGGCCCCUCGCCUUCUUCAGCCGGCCUUUCGCUCCGCGCCAUCUUAAGUUGGCCGCUUACGAGCGGGAGAUCAUUGGCCUCGUCCAGGCCGUGCGUCAUUGGCGGCCAUACUUGUGGGGGCGGACCUUCCACAUUCGCACGGACCACUACAGCCUGAAUUUCUUCCUGGAUCAACGGCUGUCGACCGUACCGCAGCACCAGUGGAUCAGCAAGCUCUUCGGCUUCGACUUCUCCGUCGAGUAUCGGCCGGGCCGUCUUAACACCGUGGCCGAGGCGCUAUCCCGUCGCGAUUCCGACCUCGCGCCAACCGCCGACGCGUCCGUCGGGACGGCCCUGUGCAUCCGCUUCGGGCCAUCGUUCGGUCUCUUCACCGACAUUCGACGCGCCACUGCGACGGCCGAUGACGCCGCACUUCUUCAGCAGCAGCUCACGGUCGGCGACUUGGAGGAGCCCUGGCGCUUCUCUGACGGACUGCUCCUGCAUGUACGCCGGAUCUUUGUUCCGGCGCAUGAUGAUCUCCGUCACCAGGUGUUGCAGCUCGCUCACUCGGCGGGCCAUGAGGGUGUGCAGAAAACCCUCCAUCGUCUUCGCGCCGACUUCUACAUCCUUGGCGAUCGUGCCCUGGUCCGCGACUGGGUUCGGUCUUGUCAGACUUGCCAGCGCAACAAGACAGAGACCCUGAGACCGGCGGGGCUCCUUCAGCCCUUGGAGGUGUCGUCUCAGGUUUGGGCGGAUAUCUCCUUGGACUUCAUCGAGGGCCUUCCCAAGGUAGGGGGCAAGUCAGUCAUCCUCACGGUGGUCGAUCGCUUCUCUAAGUACGCCCACUUCAUCGCGUUGGGCCAUCCGUACACAGCGGCAUCCGUGGCCCGGGCUUUCUUUGACGGCAUAGUCUGUCUACACGGGUUCCCGACGUCGAUCGUCAGUGAUCGGGACCCAAUCUUCACGGGCCAUGUCUGGCGCGACCUCUUCAGGAUGGCGGGUGUCCAGCUCCGCCUGAGUAUGGCGUUCCAUCCUCAGACGAACGGUCAGUCUGAGGUGGUUAACAAGGUCAUUGCCAUGUAUUUGCGUUGUGUGACAGGUGAUCGACCUCGCUCUUGGGUGGACUGGCUAUCUUGGGCGGAGUACUGCUACAACACUUCUUAUCACUCCGCCCUGCGCGCGACGCCAUUUGAGGUGGUCUAUGGUCGACCACCCCCGCCUAUACUUCCGGUCGACCCGAAGACGGCUCGGACAGCAGUAGCGGGUGACCUUAUCCGCACCCGUGAUGAGAUGCUGGCUGAGGUCCUUCAGCGUCUCCUUCAGGCCCAGCAGACGGCCAAGCACUACUACGACGAUCAUCAUCGCGAGGCGGAGUUCGCAGUGGCUGACUGGGUGUGGCUGCGUCUUCUCCACCGCUCUACGCAGUCACUGGACACGCGCGCAAAGCGCAAGCUUGGCCCUCGCUACGCCGGGCCCUUCCCUGUCGUGGAGCGCAUUGGGAAGGUGGCCUAUCGUCUUCAGCUUCCAGCCCGCGCCCGCAUCCACGACGUGUUCCAUGUGGGGCUGCUCAAACCUUUCCGUGGCGAGCCACCGGCGGCACCUCCGACGCUUCCUCCAACCGCCGAUGGUCGCAUUCUUCCAGAGCCAGCAAAGGUGUUGCAGGCUCAGCUCCGUCGUGGCGUCUGGUUCAUCCUAAUUCAGUGGGCGGGCCUUCCGGAGGAAGAGGCGACUUGGGAGCAGCGUGAGGAUUUCCGUCAACACUAUCCAGACUUUCAGCUCGAGGACGAGCUGUUUGCGCAGGCGGGGAGAGAUGUUAUGACCGGCCAGGUCUAUGGCCGCCGCAGGCCCAACAGGCAGGCUUAGGCCCACAAGUUACCUUAGUUUUAUUCAGAUUAGGCAAGUUAUCUCAGGAUUGAUUCUUCUACAAGUUAUCUAGGAUAUAAAUAUAGAUUGUAAGACUCUUUUGGAUGGAAGCAAUAAAGACUAUUAUUAUCUUUUGUUGCCCGGCUCCUAGAGGAGCCGGAAACCCUAGCCGUCGCAACCUAGCCGCCACCGCCCUCAACCCUAGCCGCGACGGCGCCCUGCCGCCGGCGCGCCCGCUCCUCGCCGCGCCCACUUCCUCUUUGCCCCUACAACCUACGCAGUAGAGCCGGUAGGAACCCUAGUCCUACCACUAAUAUAUAUACAUGAUUGUUGCACCAUCACAAGAUUUCCAUUAUAUACAUGGGCAUAACUUUCUUUACUGUGAAUUAAUCGACACGAUGCUUCUGUUUUAAGGAAUGGCAAUGCUAAAUUCUACAGUGGUACACUCUACUCUGUCGAAUGUUUACAAACACCACAAAGCUAGAGAUCUAUUGUGGAAACCUUUCUUUCUUUUGUUUGUUAUAACUUCUUAGUGUAAAAAUAAAUAUGGCUUGUCCAUUACGAAACAAAUAUGUAAGAUUUAUUACUUUUCAAAGCUGAAUUGUUCCUGACAAUUACACAUGAGAGUGCAAAGGUGAGAAGCAAAAAUUUGAAGCACGGAACAAAAAAUUCACAAACCAAUGCAUUUAGUAACCAUCGUGGUUCUUACAGGUCCUUUGCAAUCCAAAUUCCAGUUCUAUGACUUGCAAGGAAGGAUGAAGUCCAUGUCAUGAAAAUUUUAUUAUGUGGUCGCUGCCUCCUCCAGCCAUGGAUUUCAAAGGUACGCAGAUUCACCUACAACAUGCAUAUGGGAGAACUUGCAGAUCUGAAGGAAUCAAGCAUCUAGCUAAGGUGCCUGUAGCCACGAUCAGUGCUCCAUCGAGCAAUUUCUUAGGGCUGCACAGAUGCAACAACCUGGUAGAUAGGAUCAUCCUCUAUCAAAAAUAGCCAAAGGAAGAUGUCAGCAUCAGAGAUCCCAUAUAGGCCAGGAUAAUGUCAAAAUAUCUUGGCAUGGGCACGUGGCUCAUAGCCUGAACUUGAGACCGUUUACUCCAUGCUCGUGGUGGAGGCCUAGUCUCGACGGGGGCAUGGCAGUGGCGUGCGUUAGGAUUGGAUUCCGUCGAAGACCUAUGAUUGAUUUUCUAGCUGAGGCUGCGUGCGUGAGGGCUGGAGAGUCGGUUGUAGCCACGGGAUUCUGGCGGCGGCAGCGUGCGUGAGGGCAGGGGAGUCUGUAGCCCUAUUAUGUUUUUCUUCUUUGAACGAUGGACUCAGGUAAUGGGAAAACUAAUCUAUGGCAUGACCCUGUAUAUCUUAUCUUCUUUUCAUCAUGGAGUCAAGGUUUCUAAAAAAAUUAUGGCAUUGCUGAAUCGUAGAGUCAGGUGAAAGCUAUUUUGACGCAUCAUAUGCUUUAGUAGGAGUUAUCUCUACCUCUCUAUCUCUACCUAAUCUCUACCUAAUAAUAAUAAAGCAAAUUGGGUUUCUGCUUGUCCGUCAUUAGCAUUUUUUCUAAAAAGCCCCUCCCUUUUUUAGUAUUUAACACGCAGUAUAAUUUAAAGUCUGUUUCUUCCUGAGAUAAUGAUUCGUUUUUUGCAAAAAGGACCCCGGCACCACCACCACAGCCCCGCCUUAUCCACUGCCGGCCUUCACAAACGGGCAGCGGCGCGCUUGCCGCGGCGUCCGCUCCGCCCGAGCCCAGUAAUGGGGCGAGGCGUCGCGGCGGCGUUCCUGCACGCCUUGUCGGCCUUGGAGCUAGCCUUGGCGGGGGCGGGCCGAGGCGUCGCGGCGGAGGACGUUAAGCAGACGGGCACGCGCCGCCGGCGCGCUUGCCGUGGGCGUCCGCUUCGCCCGAGCCCAGGAGUGGGGCGAGAGGUCGCGCCGGCGUUCCUACACGCCUUGUCGCCCUUGAAGCUGGCCUUGGCGGGCCGAGGCGUCGCGGCGGAGGACGACAAGGCGGCCGGCGUGCUCUGUUGGGGCGACGCGUCGCGGCGCUCCGGCUCCAGCAGAUGACGGCAGAGAGCCAGGUGUGGCUUUGUGUCGCCAACAGCCACGAGGUCAUCGGCGCCGGCCACCGUGCCAGGCUGGACCAGCUGCUGCAGCCCCCCUGCGCCGUUGCCGUCGCCGUGGCACAAGAAGCGCGAGUUCCCCCUCGCUAUCGGAGGCUGGGUGUCGUUCUCUAGUGCAGAUUGUCUAAUUGAGUUUUUGAAAGCGUCGUCCACGUCUGCACUUCAUGGGUCCAUACACUGGGAACUCACGCCUGAGAACUUCCUGCUCACCAGAUUGGUUUCAGUUUCUCUGUCUCCAUCGAAGAAGGUCAGCACUUUGCCUCGAACAGUUUCAUGAUUACACUCAUGACAAGAUUUACAGUACAGUAGUCUCAUGCGUUGAGCUCAUAAUACUGCAGUACGGACAUACAUUUUCCAAGCAUAAAUUAAUGCAGAAGUUAUUGCAACAGGAGGGCCUCUAAUUGUAAUUCAUAUACACAUUUCAGCUCAAUAACCAUAUAACGCAUCUUGCCCGAGUUUGAUACUUCCGACUAUUUCCAUGUCUUUCGGGUCAAAGUUAAGUUAGCUCUAUAUACGAGCAGGCAUUUUAUUCUUUGGGAGCAAGCAAGAAUCAAUAUAUUCUCUCGCAAUAUUAUCUCCUCCUUCCCCUUGUCUUCCUAAUCCCCUGCAGAUGGCAUGACUAGGUAGGUUCAUAACAGUUGUUGUAACUAUCCGUCCGGUCAUGAAUCAACAAUUACAAUUGUUUUGACUUCUACGAUCAGUUCAGCUGCCUAUGUUGUACUGCCGCUGCCAUUUAAAGAUUUAAGUUGUCAGGUGGAUAUAGGUUCCAUUAGAUUGAAAGUAAUGAAAUUUUAUUUGCCAACCUGGCUGCACUUUGUGAUGCUUUAUCUAUGUAUAUACUUGAAGUUCAAAUGUGAUGUAUGCUUUACUCCUUAUUUGAUACUUGCAUUUGUCGCAAGCACCUUGCUGUUCUGAGUAAUGGUUGAUAUCUUACAUUUAGCCGAGAAGCUGAAAACUUACGAGUUGGAAAACCUUCUAGAUAUACCUAAAAAGACCUUGAAGAUAUCUUCUACUAGAAUGGACGAGCUGAUUGACUGGCGAUGGAGAUGCAGCAGUGACCUGCAAUUCUUUCUGUUGUGGAUGGUUCAUUUUGAAAUCUUUUUUAUAUCUGACAAGACACAAGAAAACAACAAUCUAUCCUGUUAUAUUUACCACUAUCAUCUACAGUGAGUGCUAAGUUGCCCAUAAAUUUUAGUUGACUUCUGUUCAGAGUGAUCUGAAAAAUAGAUAGCAAAAAAGAUUAGUGGGUAUUACAUUUGGAUUAGUUACAUUUGGGCAAAUAAAUGAGUAGAAGUCAAUUUUGUUUGCUUCAUGUUUCACUUCUUUGAUCUCUUCAUCAUUCUCAUUUUGUUUCAUUGCUUACCAUUUGUUCGCAUUUUUUUCUAGCAGUGGCAAGCAUGGUUAGGGCGAGCAACGAGGGUUCCUGUAGUGCAUAACCAUUUCAAGUCGCCCAUGUUCUAAAGAGAGAUCAGAAGUGCCAGCUACUGAAGCAAAAAAAAAGGACCUGAUACACAUUGUAAUCAUGGACUGCUGAUAUACCUGAUGCAUUUCUUCAUGAUGGUCGAUUUCUGUUCACCGGAUCUUACAUGUUUAAUUAUGUGUGCUCGGAACCAAAAACUGAUUGAGAUCUUCAGUUCUUACUUGCAGAUGUUCUGUUAUUCAGAGUAAUUCAGUUUCCAGUCUCUGUGUAUUAAUCAAAUUAUGGGUUAUUUUCAACCAUAUAGGCUUUUAUUAUAUGUUCAGUUAUGCUUCCAUGGGUUUUGCAUAUGUAUUAACAAAACAACCAGACUGCUAUUCUGUAUAUACUUGGAUCAAAGGGUGUACAAUUAAUUUGCUCUUACGAAAGGAAUGAGUAGGCAGAUAGCAGAAUGGGAGGACAAUCAUGACAAGCGAAGGAACACAUAAAUAGUAAUCCCACAAUUUUUACAACUGCAUUCCACUUUAAUUUGUCAUGGACAUGCAUUUUUAUCCUUGGGGUACUUUGGAUUUUAAGUGGGAAUCAUUGGUUCUUUUCUUCUUAAUAUUUUACUUCUUAUAAUUACAAAUACCAAUUUUAGAGAAUUGAGCUCGUACUUAAAAUUCAAUUGAGUAUGAAGCCACUGCCCGUUGUGUGGAAGGAACAAUUAUAACAUUGUACUCUAACAAAUCACACAUAUAGAGAAAUGUUAUUUUCGAGUCUCCUUAACCUAAUGAUCUUUUUUUAGAUAUAUGAAACUUGCAUUUGUUUUCUUAAUUCUUCUGGAAUGCAG
rnacentral:lncRNA from 1 species